rnacentral:rRNA from 1 species
AAAGCCUGAUGCACGACGCCCGCGUGGGGGAUGAGGUCUUCGGAUUGUAAACCCCUUUCAGUAGGGACGAAGCGCAAGUGACGGUACCUGCAGAAGAAGCACCGGCUAACUACGUGCCAGCAGCCGCGGUAAUACGUAGGGUGCGAGCGUUGUCCGGAAUUACUGGGCGUAAAGAGCUCGUAGGCGGUUUGUCACGUCGUCUGUGAAAUCCCUCGCUUAACCGGGGGCGUGCAGGCGAUACGGGCAGACUUGAGUACUACAGGGGAGACUGGAAUUCCUGGUGUAGCGGUGAAAUGCGCAAUAUCAGGAGGAACACCGGUGGACGAAGGCGGUGUCUCUGGUGUAGUAACUGACGCUGAGGAGCGAAAGCAUGGGUAGCGGAACAGGAUUAGAUACCCUGGUAGUCCAUGCCGUAAACGGUGGGCGCUAGGUGUGGGGUCCUUUCACGGACUCCGUGCCGCUAGCUAACGCAUUAAGCGCCCCGCCUGGGGAACGUACGGCCGCAAGGCUAAAACUCAAAGGAAUUGACGGGGGCCCGCACAAG